UUGUGAAUUUUAUCAUUUUAAGAAUGAUUUUGGAGUCAUUUUCAUUUAUUUACUAUGGCAGUGUUUAACCUGCACACCGCCCCUUUUUGUACCUCUUGUGUUGCCGUAGUUUGUUUUUUUCCCCUCCCACCCUCACAAUGCUGCUGUGUAUUGCUGAGGGGGUCGGAUGUGCAGUGCAGGCAGAAGACAACAUAAUUGUGUUUAAUUGUCUUCUCCAGGUACGUUUUACUGUCUUUUUGUUUUGUUUGCCUUUUGUUUUACUCAACGCACAUUUUUUGUUGUCCACCAGGUGGCUCUGUUGUGCGUAGUUUUUGCACAUGCAUUUUUGUUUGUAGUUGAGUUUGGUUUCUAAUGAUAAAGAAAUGUUCAUUUUCUUGAAAUUGUAGAAAAAAA